CCUACGGGAGGCAGCAGUGGGGAAUAUUGCACAAUGGGUGCAAGCCUGAUGCAGCCAUGCCGCGUGUGUGAAGAAGGCCUUCGGGUUGUAAAGCACUUUCAGCGGGGAGGAAGGCGGUGAGGUUAAUAACCUCAUCGAUUGACGUUACCCGCAGAACAAGCACCGGCUAACUCCGUGCCAGCAGCCGCGGUAAUACGGAGGGUGCAAGCGUUAAUCGGAAUUACUGGGCGUAAAGCGCACGCAGGCGGUCUGUCAAGUCGGAUGUGAAAUCCCCGGGCUCAACCUGGGAACUGCAUUCGAAACUGGCAGGCUAGAGUCUUGUAGAGGGGGGUAGAAUUCCAGGUGUAGCGGUGAAAUGCGUAGAGAUCUGGAGGAAUACCGGUGGCGAAGGCGGCCCCCUGGACAAAGACUGACGCUCAGGUGCGAAAGCGUGGGGAGCAAACAGGAUUAGAUACCCUAGUAGUC
rnacentral:rRNA from 1 species